rnacentral:lncRNA from 1 species
CGUUGAACCGUUGGUUGAGGCGCGCGAGGGCCGCGCGCGCGUCCGCCUCGACGCCGCGCGCAUAUUCGAGCACACCCUCGGUGAGGACGGCCCUCGCGCCGCGCAUGUCAAAACGGUCGACGGCAUUGCGGGCGGCGUCGGCCGCGGCGCGACUAAUGACCGGCGCGCGUGUGACGGGGUCGACCAGACCGAUGGCGGAAGAGACCGAGGACGCGUUGAUAGCGGCCGACGGAUGGAUGGCGUCGGCCAGACUCACGAGAAACUGGUAGCGCGGCAAGAGGCGUGCCUCGUCACGAGGCCACUCGGUGUCGACAUAGGGCACGUCGGGCGCACCCCUGGGACCCGCCAGGGCGCGUGGCUGUGCGGCGUCGCUCAAAAUCGCUGGCAGCGACACCUCGACGACAUCGGUCAACGCCGCAAAGGGGUCGGUCGAUGGUGGGGCAAACAUGAAAGUCGGUGGCCUCGCCAAAAAGGGCGGUAUGGACGACUGAGCAAGAGAGGCGACGAUGGCGUGUGCGGUCUUUGAUGGCGCCGAUUUGCCCUUGGAGACGACCCUCGCGGUCUCUGGUGGCUCCACGCGGGCGGGCGUGUAUGCGCCAACCUCUCAUUCGCCCCCAGCCCCCGUCGCCCAAUCGGCCCGCUUUUGUGUCGCCCCUUUUUUUGGAACAUUUUUUUUUGAAACCCUUUGUUUUCCCUUCAAAACAAUCUGCAUUCUUGUCUUGGACCAUCUGCGCGCCCGGCGUCGGGUAUCGG